rnacentral:rRNA from 1 species
ACGGAAGGCAGCAGUGAGGAAUAUUGGUCAAUGGGCGGAAGCCUGAACCAGCCAAGUCGCGUGAAGGAUGAAGGUAUUAUGUAUUGUAAACUCCUUUAGCAGCAGAGUAAUAAGGUCCUCGUGAGGACUGAUGCAAGUAUGCUGAAAAUAAGGAUCGGCUAACUCCGUGCCAGCAGCCGCGGUAAUACGGAGGAUCCGAGCGUUAUCCGGAUUUAUUGGGUUUAAAGGGUGCGCAGGCGGCUUUUUAAGUCAGCGGUAAAAUCGUGGGGCUCAACCCCAUCCUGCCGUUGAUACUGGAGAGCUUGAUUGCGGUUGAGGUUGGCGGAAUUCGUCGUGUAGCGGUGAAAUGCAUAGAUAUGACGAGGAACACCGAUUGCGUAGGCAGCUGACCAAGCCGUAAAUGACGCUCAUGCACGAAAGUGCGGGGAUCGAACAGGAUUAGAUACCCUGGUA